rnacentral:rRNA from 1 species
AUUGAACGCUGGCGGCAGGCUUAACACAUGCAAGUCGAACGAGCGGCGGACGGGUGAGUAAUGUCUGGGAAACUGCCUGAUGGAGGGGGAUAACUACUGGAAACGGUAGCUAAUACCGCAUACCAUCGGAUGUGCCCAGAUGGGAUUAGCUAGUAGGUGGGGUAACGGCUCACCUAGGCGACGAUCCCUAGCUGGUCUGAGAGGAUGACAAGCAACACUGGAAUUGAGACACGGUCCAGAAUCCGAAGGGAGGCAGCAGUGGGGAAGAUUGCAAAAUGGGCGCAAGCCUGAUGCAGCCAUGCCGCGUGUAUGAAGAAGGCCUUCGGGUUGUAAAGUACUUUCAGCGGGGAGGCGUUAGCCGCAGAAGAAGCACCGGCUAACUCCGUGCCAGCAGCCGCGGUAAUAC